UACGUAGGGUGCAAGCGUUGUCCGGAUUUACUGGGCGUAAAGGGCGCGUAGGCGGCCACCGCAAGUCGACUGUGAAAUCUCCGGGCUUAACCCGGAAAGGUCAGCCGAUACUGCGGGGCUAGAGUGCAGAAGGGGCAACUGGAAUUCUCGGUGUAGCGGUGAAAUGCGUAGAUAUCGAGAGGAACACCUGCGGCGAAGGCGGGUUGCUGGGCUGACACUGACGCUGAGGCGCGAAAGCCAGGGGAGCGAACGGG
rnacentral:rRNA from 1 species